CCGGGGACGACGAAUGCCGAAGCCUGCCCGAACAAGGAGGAGGAGCAGCCUCGGCGGAAUCCGUGACAGUCUUUCAUUUAAAUCACCAUAGAAACGGCCCCUCUCAAAGUUGAUUGACCAAGGUUAGAGGAAUAGAAAGCCACGGAUCUGGUGAUGAAAAAGACGAGGUUAUCAAGUUGAUUUUGAUUGGUCCAAACCGCAGAAACACCUCCAAAUGUUACCACCUCCCAACACUGAAAAUUGGAAGAGAUACAACCAAGAGCUGGGCAGUUUAAACCAGCAAUGGACACAACAAACUAACGUUCUUAUUUAAUCAACACUGUUAAGUACAUGCUAGCAGAUUCCCAUAGACUUCCAGUCAUUGAGCUAACGUUAAUUAGCAUUGGCUGGUGAAACUACCUUUAACUUCCGUCAUACUGGACACAGAGACAAAUGGUAUCCACAAGUUCAUCUGACUCUGGGUAAGUACAUAAAGUGCCUUUUUUUUUUUCUUAUUGUGUGUUAUUUUUUUUAAGGGCCUCAUUGCCAAAAUCAAUAAGUAUCCCUUUAGGGUUAUAAUAUUGUAGAGAACAAUCUAAUGAUUAGUUGAAUGUGAUUCAUAAUGACAUAGGGCAAAGAAAACUACGUUUAGACAUUCAUUUAGUAGCACCCUCUUGAAUUUACCUGUAUUUCACUACAUUCUAGAGCAGUAAGUGAACGCCCUAUAUUAUAGCAAAAUGAAUAUGUGUGGGCAACAGCACUGUAUUAUAUUCCACCAUGCUUCAUUCUAACUGGCUGUUUGUUGGGUGCAGUCUGGUUUUGGCAGGAAUUAUCGUGAGCUGAUUAGGUGGAAUGAAGUCCAAGCGAAGCGAGAGUAGCGGGCGCGUCAGUCGCCCACGCUGUAGUGCCCCAGGCAGCCAAGGAAGCAACAACACUGCAGUGGCUCCACUGAUCCCUGAUGAACCCUAGAGGCCCCAGGCGGGUGCCCCUCUCUCUUCACUCACGCUGCACUGAGCUCAGAGAAGACAAAUCUACUUUCGGUCCAAUACUGAUCCAAGGCGUAGUGAUGAUGACUUACUGGGCUGCUUCUGAACAUUCAAGGUGCUUCAAGAUACAGACAGGACAAGUCUGGAGGGGGUCUGCACCCUGGGAUGGCACAGCCAUGACAGUGCUGCCUCUGGGAGCGUGACGAGAGCGAAUGAAGAGAAGAGGGAAAAUGAUAUUUGGAACCUGACUCCUGCCUCCGCUUCACUCCUGCC